UUAUAAAUUUAUUCUUUUUUACUGUUUGUUUGAAAGAUAGUUAAUGACUUAAAAAUUCAAGAUACGAAGUUAAUGACGUAAAAGUGUUUCUAUUUUUUGUAUAUCGAAAAAUAUUGAAUUCACGCGUGUUAAUAUUAGACGGGCAAAAUAAAAUUUUCCGACAUUAUUAUUUUAUUUUUUCUGUCUCUUCUUUUUCAUAAUUGAUUUCCGACGAGAGUGAAUCAAAAUCAAUUAAUUACAAUAUUUUAAAAAAUUUAAAUUGCCAUCAAAUUCAUAUUAUGGUAAAUUAAACUAUACGAUAAAAAUAAAUAUUUAUGAUUUAAAACUAU
rnacentral:lncRNA from 1 species